AACGAACGCUGGCGGCGUGGAUAAGACAUGCAAGUCGAACGGGGAACUUACUUAGCUUGCUUUGAAAGUUCCUAGUGGCGAACGGGUGAGUAACACGUGAGUUACCUGCCCCAAAGCGGGGGAUAGCCCGAGGAAACUCGGAUUAAUACCCCAUGUGAUCGUAAGAUUAAAGGCGGCUUCGGCUGUCGCUUUGGGAUGGGCUCGCGGCCUAUCAGCUAGUUGGUGAGGUAAAGGCUCACCAAGGCGAUGACGGGUAGCUGGUCUGAGAGGACGACCAGUCACACUGGAACUGAGACACGGUCCAGACACCUACGGGUGGCAGCAGUCGAGAAUCAUUCGCAAUGGACGAAAGUCUGACGGUGCGACGCCGCGUGGAGGAUGAAGGCCCUAGGGUCGUAAACUCCUGUCAUCAGGGAGUAAAUACUUACGCAGUAACUGGCGUGGGUCUUGAUAGUACCUGAAGAGGAAGGGACGGCAAACUUCGUGCCAGCCGCCGCCGUAACAC
rnacentral:rRNA from 1 species